UCACGGGCAAGCGGCAGACGGGUGCAGUAACGCGUGGAUAAUCUACCCGACCCUGCGUGAAUAGCUCCGGGUAAACUGGAAUUAAUACCGCAUACGCCCUACGGGGGAAAGAUUUAUCGGGGAUUGAUGAGCCCGCGUUGGAUUAGCUAGUUGGUGGGGUAAAGGCCUACCAAGGCGACGAUCCAUAGCUGGUCUGAGACGAGGAACCAGCUCUAUUGGGACUGAGACACGACCCAAACUUAUACGGGAGGCAGCAGUGGGGAAUAUUGGACAAUGGGCGCAAGCCUGAUCCAGCCAUGCCGCGUGAGUGAUGAAGGCCCUAGGGUUGUAAAGCUCUUUCACCGGUGAAGAUAAUGACGGUAACCGGAGAAGAAGCCCCGGCUAACUUCGUGCCAGCA
rnacentral:rRNA from 1 species